rnacentral:rRNA from 1 species
UAGUCCACGCCCUAAACGAUGCUAACUCGAUAUGUGCACUAUAAGUGUGCGUGUCUAAGGGAAACCGAUAAGUUAGCCACCUGGGGAGUACGACCGCAAGGUUGAAACUCAAAGGAAUUGACGGGGGCCCGCACAAGCGGUGGAGCAUGUGGUUUAAUUCGAUGAUACGCGAGGAACCUUACCAGGGCUUAAAUGUAAGUUGCAUGAUCUAGAGAUAGGUCUUUCUUCGGACUACUUACAAGGUGCUGCAUGGUUGUCGUCAGCUCGUGCCGUGAGGUGUCAGGUUAAGUCCUAUAACGAGCGCAACCCCUACCGUUAGUUGCCAGCAUGUUAUGAUGGGGACUCUAGCGGGACUGCCGGUGCAAACCGAGAGGAAGGUGGGGAUGACGUCAAAUCAUCACGGCCCUUACGUCCUGGGCUACACACGUGCUACAAUGGUAACGACAGAGGGCAGCCACCCCGCGAGGGGGAGCGAAUCCUUAAACGUUAUCUCAGUUCGGAUCGGAGUCUGCAA